rnacentral:rRNA from 1 species
GACGAACGCUGGCGGCGUACUUAACACAUGCAAGUCGAACGGAAAGGCCCUGCUUGCAGGGUACUCGAGUGGCGAACGGGUGAGUAACACGUGGGUGAUCUGCCCUGCACUUCGGGAUAAGCCUGGGAAACUGGGUCUAAUACCGGAUAGGAGCCAUUUUUAGUGUGAUGGUUGGAAAGUUUUUUCGGUGUAGGAUGAGCUCGCGGCCUAUCAGCUUGUUGGUGGGGUAAUGGCCUACCAAGGCGGCGACGGGUAGCCGGCCUGAGAGGGUGGACGGCCACAUUGGGACUGAGAUACGGCCCAGACUCCUACGGGAGGCAGCAGUGGGGAAUAUUGCACAAUGGGCGCAAGCCUGAUGCAGCGACGCCGCGGGGGGGAUGACGGCCUUCGGGUUGUAAACUCCUUUCGCUAGGGACGAAGCUUUUUGUGACGGUACCUAGAUAAGAAGCACCGGCUAACUACGUG